rnacentral:lncRNA from 1 species
CUUCAAAAGUAACAAUUGCAUCUCAGGGUGGAGAGACAGAGGAAUCAGAUAUAAACAUACUCGAGGAUUCAUCAACUAAGCCUGUCGUUGAAUCUUCUGGUGUCUCUGAACCUUUGAAAUCCAGUAAAACCAAAGAGGCGGCUCCCAAAGAAACGCAGGAAAAUGAUGAUUUCAAGAGAACUGUAUUUAUAAGCAACAUCCCGUUUGAUGUUAGCAAGGAGGAAGUCACACAGAGGUUUACCGCAUUUGGGCAAGUUGAAUCUUUAUUCCUAGUUCUCCACCCAGUCACAAAGUAAGCACCGUUCUAUGCUUUGAAAAUUCAUUCAAUCAUAAAAGCAAAUUUAGGCUCUGGCAUCUCCCUGAGCUCAAAGCUUCGCAUUUGGUCUCUCUUAUCUGUUUUCUUUAUUGCAGACGACCAAAAGGGACCGCUUUUCUCAAGUUCAAAACAGCAGAUGCAUCAGAUGCAGCCAUAUCAGCUGCCAGUAGUGCCUCAGGUGUUGGUGUCCUUCUUAAAGGAAGGCAACUGAGCGUUAUGAGGGCUGUGGAUAAGAAGUCCGCAAAGGACAUAGGACUCGAAAAGACAAAGGAGAAGAACAUUGACCAUCGGAAUCUUUAUCUUGCUAAGGUACGCACUUCUCUCAAUCCUCACAAAUCUCUGGAAAAAAACAAAAUUAGCAUUUACUAAUAUCGAUCCCGUUUUGGCUUUCACAGGAAGGUCAGAUCCUUGAAGGUACACCUGCUGCUGAGGGUGUGUCUGCAGAAGAUAUGGACAGGCGACGAAGGUAAACCUUUUUGUACUUUCUCAUACAUUCGUGUUACUGUCUAGGGAUAAGAGAUAACUGAGCAUGUGUGGGUUGCCCUUUGCAGAUUGCAUGAAAACAAGAUGAAAAAGCUUCAGUCUCCUAACUUCCAUGUAUCUAAAACGAGGAUUGUAAUUUAUAAUUUACCAAAGUCCAUGGAUGAAAAGCAACUACAGAAGCUCUUAGUCGAUGCUGUUACCUCCCGAGCUACAAAGCAGAAGCCAACCAUCCGACAGGUCACAUAUUCGCCGCCUUUGUGCUAAGAGUUCAAACAUAGUUAAUAUUAUAUGAAUCUGGUUUGUUUCUUUUUCGAUGCAGAUCAAGUUCUUACAAAAUGAGAAGAAGGGUAAAGUUGAUACGAAGAACUACUCACGUGGAGUUGCGUUUGUGGAGUUCACCGAGCCUGACCAUGCUCUUGUGGCCCUGAGAGUACUUAACAACAAUCCUGGUAUAUAUAUUGCUGAACUCUAAUAUAGUAUGCAGUAAAUUUUUCGAGAAUCAGAAUCUCAUAUUACGAUCAUCGGUUCGGCUUAUUUGCAGAGACGUUUGGCCCUCAACACCGUCCCGUUAUAGAAUUUGCUGUUGAUAACGUCCAGAAGCUGAAGGUACACAAAGCUAACCAGCACCAUCUACUUGUUAACUACUACUGUGAGCAUAUAGUAAUAAGCUUAUUUGAUUCUCUUAUAAGAGCAUGCGGUUUUUGUGCUCAUAAUGCUUUCAUUAAGCGUUAGAAUUAUUAUCUUUGUCAGGUCUUACCCAGGACGGAUGCAGGGCAGAAGCAUCAGCUGUUCUCUUUACGAGUGUCAAAUCUGCUUGUGCUGCUGUUGCAACACUACAUCAGACAGAGAUAAAGGGAAAUCUCAUUUGGGCGCGUCAGCUCGGUGGGGAGGUGAGCAUUAUUUGCUUUUCACUGAUGUGUGAAGUUAACUGACAAGCAUUCAGAACAGUUUCAUGAUCUCUUUGUAUUUUGUUGGACGCAGGGAUCAAAGGCUCAGAAGUGGAAGCUUAUUAUCCGAAAUCUUCCUUUCAAGGUUGUGAUAACCUGAAUUUUAUGUUACUUGUACAGUGUCAGACAAUAAACUAUGUAUGUUUUUCUCAUGGAUUUUCUUUUUGGAAUAUGCAGGCUAAACCUAGUGAAAUUAAAGAGGUCUUUUCAGCAGUAGGGUUUGUCUGGGAUGUUUUUGUUCCUAAAAAUAUUGAAACUGGGUAUGUUCUAAUUCGUCUUGGUAGUUUUCUUGAUUAUGAAUAAUUGAAUGUACACUAUUAUCAUUUAGUGGAUUUUUUGCAGGCUACCUAAGGGGUUUGCAUUUGUCAAAUUCACGUGUAAGAGAGAUGCAGAAAAUGUAAGAUCUAUAAACAUAAGGCAUCUUGAUUUUGUCAUUUUCCAUUCAGACCACUUGUCUUAUUUAUCUUUUCCAUCUUCAGGCAAUACAAAAGUUCAACGGGCACAUGUUCAGUAAAAGACCUAUAGCUGUAGACUGGGCUGUACCUAAGAAUCUCUAUAAUGGUGCCGCUGAUGCCGCCACUGCUCCAGAAGAUGGUAAGUUUACCGUAUUGUUUUCUAUCGUUGGGAAUCUUAAUAACAUACUUAAUGAUUUAAAACUUUUUGUAGUUAUUUAUAUAAGAUAUGGUAAUCUGUUAUUGACACGAUAAAAGUGAAUGCAGUCGUAGGCGGUGGCCGAAGUUUCGUUUUACCUCUUCCUAACAGAAUAUUCAUUUUUUUUGGCAGGUGAAAAAGAUGGAAGUGAUGGGGACAGUGAUAAUAGUAGUGUUGAUUUGGAGGAGGUUGAUGAUGCUGUUGAGAGCCACCAAUCUUCAGGAGAUGAUACUGAUAAUGAUGAGGAGGACGGCAAUAACAAACCGAGUGAAUCAGAUGCACUGGUGAAAGAUGCUGAGACCGAUGUGAAUUUUGAAGAGGAGGCCGAUGUUGCGAGAAAGGUGCUUAAGAACUUGCUUGGGUCUUCAAAAGUAACUAUUGCUUCUCAUGACGGAGAGACAAAGGAGUCAGAUAUAAACAACAUAGUCGAGGAUUCGUCAACUAAGCCUGCCGUUGAAUCUUCUGGUGUCUCUGAACCUUUGAAAUCCAGUAAAACCAAAGAGGCGGCUCCUAAAGAAACGCAGGAAAAUGAUGAUUUUAAGAGAACUGUAUUUAUAAGCAACAUCCCGUUUGAUGUUAGCAAGGAGGAAGUCACACAGAGGUUUGCCGCAUUUGGGCAUGUUGAAUCUUUGUUCCUGGUACUCCACCCAGUCACAAA